rnacentral:lncRNA from 1 species
AGACUGAGGGAGAGAGAGAGAAAGAGGAGGGGAGGAGGAGGAGGAUUCAGGGAAUAGGAGCUGGGGAGCCCUUCUGCGCCACAGUGAUAUCAGUAUCAAGAUAAAAGUUUGGAAUGGGAGAAAAAUUCUCAAAGCCUGAAAGAAAAUCUGAGAUGCUUGGAGUGUAAAGAUCCCAUGGUCACAUAAAUCCGGAAAGCACUGAAUACUUUGUUUCCCAUAAGAGAAUCCCAUUAUAUGUUGAUGUAUUAAAAGACCUGAGAACCUGGUGAGGGAGCCUGCGAGCAAACGAGGUGGAAACUGGAGUGCACAAGUGCUGGAAUGGGCUGUCUGCCUUCCACCCCUCACGGGAGGGAGCGCGCAGGUAGUUACUUUUGGUGACGCUGUCCAGUUCCCACAAUGUAUCAUUCCUUAUCUGAAACUAGACAUCCUCUGCAGCCAGAAGAACAAGAAGUAGGCAUUGACCCCUUGUCCAGUUACUCUAACAAGUCUGGAGGAGAUUCAAAUAAAAAUGGAAGAAGAACAAGUUCUACUUUAGACUCUGAAGGGACUUUUAAUUCCUAUAGGAAAGAAUGGGAAGAACUAUUUGUAAACAACAAUUACUUGGCAACAAUAAGGCAGAAGGGGAUUAAUGGGCAGCUGAGAAGCAGCAGGUUCCGCAGCAUUUGCUGGAAG